GACGAACGCUGGCGGCGCGCUUAACACAUGCAAGUCGAGCGAGAACCGGGCCUUCGGGCCUGGGGACAGCGGCGAACGGGUGAGUAACACGUGGGUAACCUGCCCUCGGCACCGGGAUAGCACGGGGAAACCCGGAUUAAUACCGGACGGUCGCCGGAGCCUUCGGGCGCCGGUGAAAAGGUGGCUCCGGCUUCCGGACGGGGCUGGGCCUGCGGCGGAUUGGCCUGUUGGCGGGGUAACGGCCCACCGAGGCGACGAUCCGUAGCUGGUCUGGGAGGACGAUCAGCCACACUGGGACUGAGACACGGCCCAGACUCCUACGGGAGGCAGCAGUGGGGAAUCUUGCGCAAUGGGCGAAAGCCUGACGCAGCGACGCCGCGUGCGGGAAGAAGGCCUUCGGGUUGUAAACCGCUUUCGGGGGGGACGAAGCCACUCGGGUUAAUAGCCCAGAGGGUGACGGUACCCCAAGAAGAAGCCCCGGCUAACUACGUGCCAGCCGCCGCCGUAA
rnacentral:rRNA from 1 species